GUCCUUUAGAUUCCUUAGCCCUCAAACCUAAACAGUGGUCUGAGUGGCUUAUAGGAAAAAGGAGGAAAAGUAAAACUGAAAUGGAUUGCCGUCUUGUGACAAACAAGUUCACUUCAAACAAUA
rnacentral:snoRNA from 1 species